GAAGGUCAUAUACACAGGAGGAGGCAGGUAGCUGGGUCCAGGGGCAGGCAGAAGGUCAUAUACACAGGAGGAGGCAGGUAGCUGGGUCCAGGGGCAGGCAGAAGGUCAUACACAGGAGGAGGCAGGUAGCUGGGUCCAGGUGCAGGAAGCUGGGUCCAGGGACAGGCAGAAGGUCAUACACAGGAGGAGGCAGGUAGCUGGGUCCAGGGGCAGGCAGAAGGUCAUACACAGGAGGAGGCAGGUAGCUGGGUCCAGGGGCAGGCAGAAGGUCAUACACAGGAGGAGGCAGGUAGCUGGGUCCAGGGGCAGGCAGAAGGUCAUAUACACAGGAGGAGGCAGGUAGCUGGG
ensembl:lncRNA